UACGGGGGGGGCAAGCGUUGUUCGGAAUUACUGGGCGUAAAGGGCUCGUAGGCGGCCAACUAAGUCAUACGUGAAAUCCCUCGGCUUAACCGGGGAACUGCGUCUGAUACUGGAUGGCUUGAGAUUGGGAGAGGGAUGCGGAAUUCCAGGUGUAGCGGUGAAAUGCGUAGAUAUCAGGAGGAACACCCAUGGCGAAGGCAGCUUCCUGGCCCAAUUCUGACGCUGAGGUGCGAAAGCGUGGGUAGCGAACGGG
rnacentral:rRNA from 1 species